GAGGGUAUAACUCAGUGGCAGAGCACAUGCUUAGCAUGCAUGAGGUCCUGGGUUCAAUCCCCAGUACUUUCU
rnacentral:tRNA from 1 species